rnacentral:rRNA from 1 species
GACGAACGCUGGCGGCGUGCUUAACACAUGCAAGUGGUGCGACGAACCAGGGCUUGCCCUGGGGCAAAGCCGCGAACGGGUGAGUAACACGUGAGUAACCUGCCCCGAUGACCGGGACAACCCGAGGAAACUCGGGCUAAUACCGGAUGUGGCGCACAGGUGUAAGCCUGUUCGCUAAAGGAAGCUUCGGCCUCCGCAUU